rnacentral:pre_miRNA from 1 species
UGUUGGGUUUUCAGGCAGUGUAGUUAGCUGAUUGUGUUAACAUAAGACUUGCAAUCACUAGCUAAACUACCAGCAAAACUAAACA